GUUAUAUGGUCAAGUGAAUAAGCGUGCACGGUGGAUGCCUUGGCAGUCAGAGGCGAUGAAGGACGUGGUAGCCUGCGAAAAGCUUCGGGGAGUCGGCAAACAGACUUUGAUCCGGAGAUGUCCGAAUGGGGAAACCCACCUAAUUUAUUAGGUAUCUUUAAGCUGAAUACAUAGGCUUUUAGAGGCGAACUCGGGGAACUGAAACAUCUAAGUACCCGAAGGAAAAGAAAUCAACCGAGAUUCCCUAAGUAGCGGCGAGCGAACGGGGAGCAGCCCUUAAGCUGCAUUGUGGUUAAAAGAAUGCUCUGGAAAGAGCAGCCGUAGAGGGUGAUAGCCCCGUAUUUGAAAACCUAAUUGCAGUGAAAACGAGUAAGGCGGGACACGUGAUAUCCUGUCUGAAGAUGGGGGGACCAUCCUCCAAGGCUAAAUACUCCUGACUGACCGAUAGUGAACCAGUACCGUGAGGGAAAGGCGAAAAGAACCCCUGUGAGGGGAG
rnacentral:rRNA from 1 species